AGCUGGUCUGAGUGCAAUUGUGUUUACAACUAAUCGACCACAACCAAUUACAGAUUUCUGUAUUCCUUCUCCUCUCUCAUUGUUUCACUUGACUUAGACUUACA
rnacentral:Y_RNA from 1 species